UAUUUAUUUAUUUAUUUAUUUAUUUUUGGUCUUGUGGCUUAUAGUUAAACCAUCACUUAGGCAGUUUCUUGCUCCACAAGCUUCAGAAUAGUUCCUUCUAGCUCUGUCUUCUGAACUUCAACUUACUGAGGACUCCCUUAUGAGUUUAACACUCCCUGUAACCCUGGCUUAUUGGGUCUUUUGCCUGGCAAUGCUUGGGGGGUCACUUUAGCUCUAUUCAUUCUCAGAUCAGGCUCCCUGAACAGCCAUUGUCUCCAAGAGGGGGUCAACGGCAGGCAAACCUGGGUCACUAUGGGCAGAGACAAGCAGCUCUGAGCCAAGGGCCAGAGGGCAGUGGAGAGAGCUGUGAGCUAAACAGACCAGAGCCCCUGCCCUCUCAUUCACUGUUCCGGAGUUUUCUGUAAAACCCCAGUUGCAUUUACUCUCCCGGGUCUCAGACACACCUCCCUAGGAGCAGAGGUUCUGAUGGCUUGUACAGACCUUCUACUAGCUAUUUUGUAGAAGACAGUAAAGAAAAUAACUCACUGUGUGCAAUUUUAUUUAAAAGAGUGCAAGAAUGUUCUUGAGCUUCUCAGUCCUUUUUUUCCCCGUAGCCUUUCUUAUCAUCGGAAAUGAAAGAAAACAGCCAGAGGAGAUAGGAUCUCAGGUCGAGAAAUCCUAGCAGGUAAUUUUGGAGUUGAAAACAAAUCUCCCUUGAAAUGAAUUAAGCAGGUGAAGGGGAUUCCAGCUCCUACUCUUAAACCACACCUUAUCCUGGCCUGGCAAAUGACUUCCUUCCAGCCCCAGGCAAAUCCCAACUUCCACCCACUAAAUGCCUGCAGUUAAUAAACGUUCAACAACAAAACCCCAAAGUGGAAAAAGGAGGACUGAUUGCAAGCCAAGAUACCAGAAAGACUGUUUGAGAACCUUCCCUGCGAGCUGCAUCCACGAAGAAACAUUUAGGCAAGGAAGCAAGGCCGGGGCAGGGGGACCCAAGACAUAAGCUAGGUAAAUAUCUGACUUGAUUUAAAAUGACUAUUUUUCUUGAUCAGACUUGCCCACUUGUUUUCAUUGAAACUUUGUACCAUGACCCACAUUCAAACCCUUCAAGAUGGCUAAAAUCUCCAGAAUCUAUUACUGAGCCACGAUGUAAGUCAUGCCUCCUGCUAAGUAUGCCAGGACUAGAAAUCCCAAACUCAGGUCUAGAUAAGUCUUCUGAGGGUUGGUGAGGAGGUUCUCAUAGAUCCAGGGAGAACUGAGAAAAAUAAAGAUCAAGUUAUGCUCUGAGGAAUUCACUCAGCAUUACUUAUUAUUCCCAUUUUACAGACGAGAAAAUGGAGGCUUGGAGAAGUUGAGUGCCUGGCCCCAUAGCUAGGCAGCAGCAGAGCCAGGACAGAGAUUCAUAUGAUAAAUCAUAAUGGCUAUCAUUUUCUGAGCACAUUUCAUGAGACAGGCAAAGCACCUUGUGCUUUGUGCAUGUUAACUUUUUAAUUUCUCAUGGAUUGCUUCCUUUUUAAAGGAGUAAAACUGUCCAAUAGCACUUCCUGCCAUGUUGGAAAUGCUCUAUACUUGCACUCUCCAGUACCAUGAUAGUCACUGGCCCCAAUGUGGCUAUUGGGCACUUGAAGUGUGCCAAGUGGGACUGAGGAACUGAAUUUUUUAUUUUAUUUUAUUUUGGUUGAUUUAGAAUUUAAACAGCCACACAUGGCUAGUGGCUACUGCAUUGGACAAUGCAGUUCUAGGAGGUUCAGUAGCUUUUCAAAAAGCUUUUGAAAGCUUGUUAAGUGGUAAGGCCAGAGUUACACCCCAGGCUGAGUGAACCCAAAGCCUAUGCCUUUCCCUUCUCCCCUCUGCUCUCCAGUGAGGUAGCCUGCAUUUUGCAAAAUGAAAGGCCCUGAGAAGGAAACUGACAAGAGAGUCAGCCAAAAAUACAUCCAGACCACCUAAAGGCCAGGUCUGUAUUUGAGUUUGAUUUUUCUGAGUAUGUCUAGAGGCCCCAACAAGAGGCCAAAUACCCCAGUCAGAAGCUUGAGUCCCUGCACCAGCACCUUCCCAGAGCUUACCAAUAGUGGCCCAGUUGAUUGAAGGUUCUAUGACUCACAGGUCCCAAACCUGCUAUUUAAACAUCAGCAUUUCCUUUUUUUGGGCUUAAGACUAAUUGGUAUAGAGGUAGUGAGCUCCCAGGCCUAGCCCCACCCUGUUGAAACAUGUAGCCCUCAAAGGUUUCCACUUCAGGCACCACCCGUGAGGUACAGCUACCAUCUGCCACAUGUCUGAGUGCAAACAUUUAACCCAUGCUGGGCCAUCAUGCUUUCCUCAGCUUCUCGACAGCCUUCCAGUGUGCAUCUCUGCCACAUCACUCCCCUGCCCCAAGGCCUCCAAAGACACCCCAUGAUGCUCGGAACAAAAGCCAAAGUCUUGCUUCCCUGAGCUGCCCCCCUCUCCCCAAUUUCUCUUUCUAUUCCAUGUCAUCCCCAUCAUUCACUCUGCUCUGGUCCCUGAUCUCCUAGCUGUUCCCCAACAUAUCAAACUUGUCCCUGUCCCAGGCCUUUGCACUUAGGGUUCCUUCUACCUGAAAUGCUCUUUGCCGGGAUCAAAUAUGGCUUACUCUUUCUUCAUUCAACCUCUUCCCUAAUGUUACCUUUCCAGAAAAGUCUUUCUGACCCCACUGUGUGUAAAAUAGUGCACCCCUCACCCCUAUCUCUCUACCCUGCGUUACUUUUUUUCAAGGCUCUUAUCACCGGUUGAUAUAUGUAGAUGUAUACAUAUACGUAUACAUAUGCAUAUAUAUAUUUGUUGUUGGUGGUGGUUGGUUUGCUUAUUGUCUGUCACCCCCACUAAGAUGUAAACAGGGUAAGGAGGGACAUUGUCUUUUUUUACUCUGUAUCUCCAGUGUCUAGAAUAGAGUCUGGCACAUAGGUGCUUAUUGAAUAUUUGUUGAAUGAAUGAAUGCAUGCAUGACUUCUUACUGUGAGUGCAAGGAGGUGGGGAGGGGUGGGGAGGCUCAGGCUUGGCUCACUCUACACAGAUCAGUGCUUCCAUGACUUGGAUACUGAACCAUGAGAAACAAAGAGAUUUGUUGGUUUAAUUUCUUUUGCCCUGGGAAAAUUAAAGAUCACAGAUAAUCCAAAACUCAGUGCCAAGUUCUCUAUUUAUAAUCGAGGAAUUAUUCACACAGAGGUAAACAAGAGCAAAGGACUGACAAGUGAACUGGAGGAGGAGAAUGAUGGGAAACAGACUGAGGGACCCGUACAUCUGCAUGCCUUCAACAGGCCUGGGUUCUCACCAGCACUCACUCAACCUUGGAUCCAGAGAACCCUUGAUGUUUUCCAGUCCCAGAAUCCUCUGGGACAGGCUGCCCAGAUGGCUGUUGGGAGUGAGCUGGCGAUCUUAAGCAGAGGCAGCCUAGCUCAGGGCCCUGGGUGCCAAGAUAGUCUCCAGAGACUCUUCUCCCCUCAGGGCCUCAGUCUAGAGUCUGAGGAGAGCUCCCCCCAUUGACACCAUCAGGACCUCCAGCACUGGCUUAAGUGGCUUCCCUGUCCACUGCAGCAUUUGAUUUCAAGCUACAUGUGAAAAAACAGAGUCAUUGAGAGAAAGCAACUCACUGAAGGUCACGUGGGAAACAGCACAGAUAGGAAGAACCAGGCCUCUGAGUCACAGAAAGAUCUUCCAUUCAUCGGAUGAUGGAUUUCUACAGGCUGCAAGAAGACAAAGAACACAAGUGACAAGACACCUAGAAAAAGAUGUUCAAGACCUACAUGAGGCCCACCCAGGGUUCUUUUUGAAACUAUUGUUUGUUGAAGUUAUGGGGAAUAAAGUUUAUACUCCCAUUA